UUAUUACUAAUCGGUUAAAAACAUGUUCCCUAGUCUCUCUCUUGCUUGAAUGCAUUCAAGAACAUUCUCAUUGUUGAAGUCCACUUCAACUUGUUCCGCAGCGCUACCCUAAGCAUUGGGAUUAGGGCUUCUAAGUUGUAACUAUAAUAGAAAUCACGAGCUACGUUAAUCCCAACGUCUCUGCACUCUGCGAGAUUCUCAGUGAUUCCUCGUCAACACAAUCUCUGAAUUCGAUCACAAACCGUGGAGUACCUUCGUUUCUUCUACUUGGAGGAAUCAGCAAUCGGUUUUCCGUCACUCUCCUCGCAUCCGUUAAAUUAGAGGUGAGCCACUACACCGUAACCGUUUUUUUUUUUUUUUCUGGAUUUGAUCGAUUUGCAUUACUUCAAUUUCAAUGCAAUGCCGUGACGAGGUUCUUAUGAGUCACCAGAUGUAUAUCUCAAUUCUUGUUCGAACUGCAAUUACAUUUACCUGCUUCAUUGUUGCCAGAUCAUACAAAAUUUUUACUUAGAUUAAUUCGGUUAGUUUAUAUUUAGAUCUAAAUCUCGUCACCGCGGCAUUAUUCCGUCAGUAAGAGACUCACAAUUUUUUACUAAUCUUUCAAUACUCCCUCGCCACCGUGAAGAGCUUGUUCUACAUCCUUGAUUGUGUAGACAUUUAAUAUUUUUGCUAUUAUUUUAUUUGCUUGAUAAGGAUAGUAGUUUGUUCUAUUUUGUCACACAUGAUGAUGGUUAAGUUGAAAAUCGCUCUGCCAAGAGUUGCUUUGCAGGCAUACAUGGAAAAGCCGUGCUUAGCUGAUUGUUUUAUGAUUUCUUAUUGCUUUUUAAGGAUGCUUCCUCUGAACACUACUUGCUCUUUGAUUGCAUAUCGUAUACCUUAAUCUAAAUUAUUAGUUAUUUAGCUUCAUUGCAUCAAUUCUACUUUACCCAUCCAAUCCUGAAAGUAAUGAGAAACGAAAUCUGGAAAUGUGAUUACAACAGAAAGUGGAACUACAUCACUGCAUAUGGCAUAAUUUCAUGUUUUCAUUCUGUUUAUAAGGUUUUAGGGAAAUUGUCUUGGCUAUUGGUACAAGGGAAAUAAAUUACAUUAAGUACAAUAAUAUGUCUUUUCUAACCCAUUUCAUGUCAUUUAUGUCUCUACUUGUAUGAAAGGACUAAACGUGAGACUUUCUCUAUCCAUAAUGAAGCACCCAAAAGUUGAACCCAACAUUAUGCCAUUUAAAUCUAAAAAACAGUGAUGAUAUCUUUUUUGGAAUGACUGCUGUAGAACCUAAUUGCAUUUAGCAAUAUAAUUUAUGUUUAAUGGCUUAUUCGGUUCUUAUAACUAAAAGCCCUUGUUCUUUUAAUUUCUAUUUUAAAACAUCAUAUUUUAAAUCCUAGACAACCGUUUUUAAUCCCUUCAAUGAGAAUUAAAAGUGAUUGAAGAUUAUAUGUGUAGGCACUAGAAGGAAAUAUUUAUAGGUAAUAGGGACUAAAAUGAGUGUUUUUAACUAUAGGAACCAAAUGAAAAAUUAAACUUGUAAUUUAUAUGGCUGUUUUAAGGAAAGUUGUUAUGAUAAUACUGUCGAUGUCGAUACUUCCAUGUUUUGAACCUACGGUCUUUCCGUUUAUGUUAGUGGAAGGGAGAGCUAUUUGCUUCCAGUUCACAAUGGCCGAUUUCCUUUUCUCUUUUAGUCAAACAUUUGCCCACAUAUGUGUUAUAUCUACAAGGUCUACAGAAAUAUAAAAUGACUAGAUAGUUCUCCUUGACGCUGAGAUUGAUAAUAAUAGAGAUUUGGGUAUUAUAGAGUGCUUAAGUUUCGUAUCAAGUAGAUGGAGUAGUUAAAUGGUUUGAUUCUCCUCCUUUAGCGGGUAGGUUUUAAGGGAGGGUUUUGCUUGUCUUUCAGAUGCUUAUACCAUUUCUUUGUAUUAGCUUCAUGGCUUGGUAUUCCUUAUUAGGAUGUAUAGGUGCUUAAUUUUUUUGGACAAUGUAUGUUUAAACUUUGCCUUGAAUUUAAAAUAUUUAGACUACUGUAGGCUACCCUUUUCACUAUUGUGUAUAUCAGUGCAGCCAAUAAAUGGCCUACUUUGUUUGAAAAGAGAGCAUGCAUUUCUCUUUACGGUUUUCCUCGUUAGUUUUUUUGUAUGGAUCAGUCAGUUUCUUCUGUUGAUUUGCCAUGUCGUAAGAUAAAUUCUUAUAAGCCUUGUGGGUUGUCAUCUUCAGGCCAAUUCUCCCCCUUUCAGUCUAACAUUAAGUACAAACUGAUGGCAAAGCUAAACUCACCUCAGAAGCCGCAUAUUAUUUCACAAAUCUUGUCAGCUAUUGCAUUUAUGAUUGACUUAAAUGUAACAUCUCUUUCAAUGGAUUAAGUUCACUAAUAAGAAUCUUGAAACUGGAAGCUAGUUUAACAUUUCUCUGAAUUGUUGAAUGUUUGAUUUAUUACUUGCUGAACCUAACCACUGUUAUGCACUUGUUCCAGCCAGAGAGAAGCUGUUAAAGUUUUCAUAUGGAAAGCCACUCCGUCAUCAUAAAAUCCAAGGGAUAGAAAUCUCUUUUGUGCGCCAUCAAUUAAAAAAAUUCCCAUCUUAUAUUCAAUUCAAGUAAGUAGGCAACGUAAUUCCUAAGUUUGUGUAAUAUUUGAACUUGAAAUGCCACUAAAGAACCAUAUUAAAAACGAUUUUUUUAGAAGAUAACCCUAUAGACUAAUCUUAUUUGUUAUAUUUUUCAUUUUUUCCUUAGGGAUGACGUAAAUGAUUGCAAGAUAAUAAAAUAAACAUAAAACAAAGUUGUCAUUGUCGAUUCAUAUACGUUGAACUCGAUAAAGCCAAGCUGGACUGACUGCAGGGCAGGGCCUAAGCUCUCAAAAAAAAGAGGCUACAAAACAUUGGACUGGCCCCAUUCACAUAAAAUCCUAGCUGAAGACAACUAAAAACUAUACAGAUACAUAUACAAAAGCUAUACACUCAACGUACACCAAAAUUCACAGUUAUGUUACAUGAAACUGUUGGACAUUCCCUUCCUACUGCCUCAUCUCUGCAAGAUGAGUUGAAUUUACAGGUCGCGUUAGGUUCCUCACCAGAUGCUGGCGAAUUUUUAGUUUCCUCACGGUACAAGCUGACACAUCUCAUGCAUACAAACUUAGAAGGCAUGCCAUCAGAAUUAUCAAUUCCAGCGCAUCUGGUAUGCUGCCAAACGCCACAUGUAUCACAUGCUAACAUUUUCUCUCCAUCAUCAUCCUUAGCCCCACAGGUGCAAUCAACCUUCCACGCCUCAGUUCCUCGUUCCAUUCGGAAUCUGCUUAGCCCAUGUUUGGCUGGGCAUUUACCUUGAAUUCGGACUGAUCCACUUGUUCCGAGCAAUAACUUUACGGUGAGCGAAUCACUGAUUGACCCAUAUCCCAGGAGUUCUUCAGCUUGAAACCUCUUAUACAUUGCAUACACCUCUUGAAAAGCACUAGUGGCUUCGCUCUUGAGCUCAGCAACGGUGGCAUUCAAAGGCAACACAAUAAGCUCUGGCGGUGGGCAUGGAUCUUCCUUAGGCUGAUCAGAAAGCUCCACAUGGCACCACAACCUAAUCACAGAAGGCAGUUCUAUGGCCAUUUCAUAUGGCUUGUAAUCCUUCAUAAAUUGUUUACAGUCAAGGAGCUUCCUGGCUGAAUCAGCAACCCUUUUCCUCAUAAUCCUAGGUCUGUAGGACAUCAUUUUCUCAGGAUGUAUUAUCGAAUCAAAUAAAAAUUUCAAGUCAGAGAUCAGUUGCCCUUCUGUAGGAUAGCUUAAAUCUGUACUUAAUCCAUUACUCCUUGGUCCCAACCUGUUAUUAAGUAUAUAUAUAUAUAACACAAGCUUUAGAUACAUUAAUUAAGAUGUAAUUGACAAAAGCCAUGUCAUCUUCAACCUCACCUGAACUCGAUUGCACUGGAAAUUGGAUUACAUCGUGAACAAACCACCAUCCCAUUGGCAGCUAAUUUCCCAGGCAAGUGCUUAAGACAGUAGUCAAGAAGCUCUGGAGAUGAAACACCCCUGCAUACUGCACCCUUGAGAGCACGCCUUGUCACCCAUUUGGACUCAGUACACGCCCCCGAUGCAAGCAACACCUUGACAAGAGCAUGUUGCACCUCUUCAACAUCAUUUCCCGUCCACGUACACAACAGAUUACUGGUCUGCUUAAAACUUGUCGUGGCUAUUGGCUUACGACAUUCAUGAAUCAAUACCAACAAAAAGGAGAACAGAUCUUGAAUGUUCAGAAGUUCUGUUUCUGCCAAAGACUGGUAAAGAGAAAUGACACACUCCAAGCGGCUUCGUGGUCCCCGACCGUGGAACGAAAAUGACGACAAGGGCAUAUUCGACAGUGUAUUCACAGCGUUUUUGUACGCAUCUUGGGUAAGAGCAUAGCUGCCAGUUCCAAACUCAUAAGCCCAAUUGCCAUACCAGGAAUGUCCUUUGGUGAUUGCAUGAAGCAAACGGUAUUCCAGCCCAAAUUUCUUGGACAAGUCCAUCACGCUAACCUUCCUGCUCAAGAACACAACACAGUUAACUCAAAACAAAGGGGUGGUGCCCAUCCAGAUGCCAAAUGUAAGAAAACAAAUUAUUCGAACCUCACAGAAAUUGAUGUACACAGCCUAUCCCAGAAAUCCAUAAUAUCAAAUCCAGAUAGAAGCUUCGAGCCACCUUCUCUUCCACUAAGUGUAAGCAGGUGACCAUAACCAUUGGAAUGGACCACACCAUGAAGAAGAUGCGUGUUAUCUUCAAUCUGAAGAUACACCCAGUCCUCAAGGUCAUCCACAGUGAUGGCAAAGUUACACGAUUUACACCUACAGCCAUGCAGAAGAUUAGUUACUCUGCAUUCAAAUAUCCCAAAGAAAAUGUUUCAAUGAAAACCAUAAAAAUAUGCAUACCUUGUUUCAGAUAAUUGGAGCAGGUUCCCACAUCUUGAACAAGGUCUUUGAUAUGGUUCGACCGCAUUACUCGCAGCCCUUAUUAUGAAAUGGUAUCGCUUUCGACACACCGGAUGCCCACUCCACCCUUUGUUUUUUCAACAUAAAGUCAGCAUUAGAGCACAACCAUACAUUUCCCAUAUGCCCCAUAUAAAAAUCUAUAUCACUAAUAUUUGUCUGUUUUCCCACACUAAAUAUUGUUAUCAAUUAUUAAAUUAUUAAUACUACAUUAUUAUAAAUAUAUAAAUAAUAAUAAUAAUACAUACAUAAAAAAAAACAUGGGCAAAAUAUAUUUACUGUAUUUGGCCUACGAGGAAGUAGGAAAAAGAAAAUACUAUAAAGUUUUGGUUUAAUUUUCAGCCAAAUUCUGGAAGGGAGAAAUAUUAGGUGGAUUAAUUAGUAAAAAUUAAAAUUAUCUGCCUGUUUAAUUUUAUUUUAAGCUAAUGAGAAAUACAUGGGUUCAGAAUCAGUGAGUCACAGACUCGGCGAGUGGGGGCUCACCAACGACUCGGCACUGGUCACAAUAAACAGAAGUGCGAGAACGGGUAACAUCCUCCUCGACAAUGUCAAGAGUAACGACCGCCGGCGAGAGAUCGGGUCCGUCGACG
rnacentral:lncRNA from 1 species